rnacentral:lncRNA from 1 species
UCUUCAUCGCGCCAGUGUCGCUGUUAGAAGCUUCUCCACCGUUCAAUUUUUAAUUCAGCAACUUCACCCGGAAUCGCUGCGAUAAAGAUUGAGAGCGAAAAAAGAAUCCCGCAUCAAACAAAGUUAAGGAGUGACAGAUUCAAGCCUAUUGUAGUCGAUCCAGGAACAUAUUUAGCAAGGAGAAGUCAAAUUUUUCAAGCUACAGAGAAGAGAGCAACACCUGAUGCAUUCAAACUCUUCAUUGGUAAAUAUGUUUUCAUUAUUUUCAAUAGAGUGUGUUUUUUUUUUUUGUGUCUACUCAUUGAUAAAAAUUAGAAAAUAAAACAAUGUAACGAGACAGUAGAGCUAUUCCUAUUUAUAAACCUUAUAAAUAGGACCAACUUAAUCCAUUAUGAUGCACCUUAUAUUUUUGAAACAUUUUGUUUUUAACUCAAUUGAAUUUUGAAUUCCUCUUCUAUUAGGUCAUAAUUUUUCUUACUCAAUGUUUCUAUCAAAUUGGAUUCUAAAUCUGGGUUUUUCUUUGGCAAGAAAUGCUACUAUUUGGUGAAGAAUCAAAAUAUAGCAAUUGGGUUUUCAAGGUUGUUUUGGUUUUUGUUCUAAUCAUGGAAAAUCAUUUGAGUUUAGUGUUACAAAGUGAGCUUGAAAAUCUAUACAAAGAUGCUAUGAGAACAUUGAGUUCACUUGCUUUUUGAAUCUUCUAUGAGUUUGGUGUUCUAUGUUAAAAAAAUUAAAACCACUACCAUAGGAUGAAGCAAUAGUUUUAGAAUCAAAUGUUGAUUGACAGGAAGAUAUAUUUAUUGUCGAAGAUGUCUAACUUGCUGCCCCUGUAUUUUGCUCCAACAGAAAAUAAAGAUGGUAUGUCAGUUCUAUUAAUGAUUUUUCCGAAGUAAUAUUUUGAUUUUUGGAAGACUUAAAAUGACAUCCAUCCAAGCUUGAGUGUUUCAUCAAAUGGAUGAACAACAAAGCAUCAUGAACAACUUUCUUGAUAUAUUAACUGGGGGUGUUCAUUCCUUGAAGCAUGAAAACAACAAAGGCUAUGAAAGGACUUAACACUUGGAAUAGGCAACCAAGAUCCUAUCUUCAAGCAAUACAGCUUGCCUAAGGGAAAGGUUGGUUACCUCAAUGGAAUUUUUAACCCUUUGAACUUUGCACCAACUUUGGAGGCUAAAGAGAAGGAAAUUUCUAAUGGUAGAUUGGCAUUGUUGGCAUUCUUGGGAUUUAUCAGUCAGCACAAAGUUGCAGGAAAAGGACGAUUUGAUAACCUCUUGCAGCACCUUUCAGACCCAUGGC